UACACACACACAUAUAUAUAUAUUUAUACUAUUUAUAUUUCUACUCUAAGAGUAGAAAAAGUAGCUAAGAAGUUAGGAUCUUGUUGUUCAUUUAUUUCAGUUGUAUCCAACUCUUGGUAACCUCAUUGGGUUUUCUAGGCAGAAAUACUGGAAUGGUUUCUCAUUUUCUUCAGCCCAUUUUACAGAUGAGGAAACUGAGGCAAACCCGGUUAAGUGAGUUGCCCAGGGUCACAUAGUGCCAGAGUCUUGGCACUCUAUCUCCUGGACCACCUGGCUGCCCACAGGCCCCUAAGGCCUUGACUACUUGUGAAACCAGAAAAGAGACAGGUCGAGUGCCCAUCCAUGAUGAACCCUAGUCCCCCAAUUUGCCUCUGUGUUACUGGCUUUCUUUGAUUAAGAGUUAAUGUAGGAAAUACAUCCCCAAGAAUCUCUACCCCAUGACUGGCCAUAGUCAGGAAUCCCUCUUGGUCCCCGAGAAUCUCCACUCCUUGAGAAGGAGGGCGAGGAAAGGGUCCUGGGAAGGGAGGUUCUAAGUCAGAUGAUGACCUUACUUCUCAUUUGUCUCUUCCUGUUCCUUUCUGUGUCAGCAGCUCUGCUCUCCAGCUGAGGCAUGGGGCACUUCUGCCUGUGGUCAUUCCUGGGAAUCCAGAGGUGGCUUCAGGGUGGAGAGAAGAACUGAGCAGCCCUCCCUGUCUGUGCCCACAAACAGGGCUGGGGCUCACCCACCUCCUCGCCAUCUCCUCUCUUCCCGGCUGCAGACAGGCUUGGCUUGGCAGGAUCACGAACCCCGGGUGGGCCUGUUGGGAGGUUCCAAAAUAAAGUUCAGCCCCAAACCAACACCAGACUUGAUGUUAGAUAUCAGUAUGAUGCUUCUGAGAAAGUAAAGGGCUUAGCCUCAGAAAAAGCCCUGAAGCCACACUGCUGGAUGCCACAUUCAGUGCUCUCUCCCUCCCCUCUAACCGCCCACCCCUGCUCCUGCCCAGGCCCAAAUUCUCUUUGACCUUUCAGCCUGCUCCUGUCUCAGUUACUUCACACCCAUACACCACUACCCCCAGAAGUUAUCGCUGUCCCUCAGUUCUCCUGUUUGUUUUUCUCUCCAACACAUGCCCCUAACAUCUCCACACAGAACUCCCACAUUCUCCCUUCCCCCAUCGAAGGGAACUCCAGCCCAAGGGGGUCUGUGUGUUCUCAUUCCCAGAAAGAUGCCGAGGACCACGAGUGGUCUGGCUGCUGGCAUGCCGUGAAGCAGGGCUCCAAAGAGAGAGGACUGGGGCCGAGUUCAUGCCCCUCGGAUGGAGGAGGGAGGGCCUGUGUCACUGCCGGGCCGAGCCCUGAGCACCUGAAUGUAUGCCCAGGCGUUGGGGCGCACUGGUUUAUUAGUGUUAUUUCAGCAUUGUGAUGCAGAGAGAGUAAGUGUAACAGCUGCUCCUAGCUCGCAGUGUUUAUUGUUACCUAGAGACAACCUCCUGGCUUUUUCCCAGUUUCCCCCACCCCAAACAACCCCCCCCCCCAAGUCCUGCUCUCCUCACACUCUGAUGGGAAAUUUAUAGCUUGCCCAUACCAUACCUUUAACCCUCUGUUGCCUGUAGAGGAAGGCUAAGGUGAGCUGUAGGAACACAAGCCUGGGUAGAAUGGGAUGGGAUGCAGAAAGGACACCCUCUUAAUCCUCCCUUCUUCAUGCUGUUUCCAGCAUUUGAAACCCAAAUGCUCUUCAUUCUCUUAGGCUUUCCCAAUGGUGAAACAGUUUUUUCCUAACUUUCCUGGCUCCUUUGGAAGAGAGCUAGGCAGAGGACCUGGGCGUAGUCCUCACAAGGUUAUUCACCUCUGAGUUAGUCACUUCCCUGGGAUUUUUCCCAGGAAAUCUCUAACUGAAUUUGUCUGACUGAGUUUAACAUUGGGCCCAAGAGGGGACCUGGGCAGGGUGCAGUUAGAACUGGAGAGAUGAAGAGACUGGUCACCCACCCAGAAGUAUCUAAAGAAUUGGAAAAGCUAGGAUUCAGAUUUGGUUAAACCUCAUUCAAAGAUAGUUACAGAGACAUUUUAACCCAAACCCAAGGAUCCUAUGGCCAAGGGGAGGGGCUGGGCUUGGUUCAUGGAGUGCCAGCUAGAAAUGCACUGCCAAACAUGGCAGACAAAACUGAUCCUUUUUAUCUUCAUGCUCCUUUCAAGUCCAAUGUCUGAACUGAGAAUAACCAAAUAGAAACAGUGAAGAGAGAAAUGAUCUAAAACCAUUACCCAAUUGUGUCUUUUAGGUCAGGGAGGAAGGGUGUGUUCCCCAUCUUCUCCUGGGAGCUUCUCAUCUCUGAUCUAUUUUUGAUUUUGUGGGGGGAUUUCAUUCUCUUUGUAAACAAGAGGGCCUAGUAGCCUUGGAGAUGGCUUCCCCAGAAGGGAGGAAGGAGAAACCAUUCCUUUUAACAGUGAAUUCUAGCAUCUUGACAAAAAUUAUGAUCUGCUGUUUGAUCCCUACCUCCAUUAAGAACAAAGAGGAGGAUUACAGCAAGACAGGUGCAUGUUGUAUAGGUAACUAACUAGCAUUUAUGCAGUACUUUAAAGUUUGCAAAACACUUUUAUAAAUAUUCUCUCAUAUCAUCGCAACAAACUUGGGAACUAAGUGGUAUUCCUUCCCUCCAACUCCCCCCCCCCCAAAAAACUUAUUUUUUGCUGAGGCAAUUGGGGUUAAAUGACUGCCCAGGGUCACACAGUUAGGAAGUGUUAAGUGUCUGAGAUCAAAUUUGAACUCAGGUCCUCCUGUCUUCAGGGAUAGUGCUCUAUCCACUGCGCCACCUAGCUGCACCCCCCCCCCCACUUUUAAAAGAGCAAGAAACCAAGGGAACAGAUCAAGUGACUUGUCCAAGAUUAUACAACUAGCGAGUAUCUGAGGCUGUAUUUGGACUCAGGUCUUUCUGCCUUUAGGUCCAUUGUUUUAUCUGUUAUACCACUUGAUUAUUACUUAAUUUCUUCAAGUAGUAUGAGCCAGAGGAAUGGGAGAUCGCUAAAAUUCUGUGGCUUUCCAUUCUCUAGAUUUUUUGGGAUAGGUUAGGUUCAGAACUACCUAGAUAGAGAUGAUCUUUCCAAAGGUGACCCAAAUCCAAACACCUUCUGUGUAAUAGUAUCAUUUCCUUUGGUCACAGAGCUCCCCAGUGGAUGAAGCAAUCCAGUGGGUCUCUGAUUUUAGUAGCUUAGAAUCCUACUCACCCAGGACUACAUUUUUGUGUAGGAGAGUGCCUUGGGCACUUUUAUUGAACACAUUCACCCAAAAGAUAAUCCUUAUCCUUUCCCAUACCAUACCUCCAGAUCAGUUUGUCUUAAAAAGGAGGUAAUUCAAGGUAGAAGACAAGCAUUUUCCCAGUUAACAAUUCCCUCUGAAAGGGAGGUGAAUGUAUAAGCACAAGCAAAAUAAGAGAAUAGCACAGGACAAGAUAACUUUGGACCCUCCAUGCAUGUUUAUUAAAGGCAAAAGACAAUUAGAAACCAUUAGAAAUGUGUGGGAAAACUUUUGUGUUCUUUUCUAGGGAAGAAGGAAGAAGAAAUCCUUGAGUAAUCAACUCAUUAUGAUCCAGGAGUAGGUCCUGAAGCUAAGAGGAGCUCUUUGCUAAGGAGAAAGGAAAGAGAGAUUGCUUAAGGUUGAAGAUUCUUGUUCAUUUAUACACAAGUGAAGUGGUUCUCAUUCAACCAUCCAACAAAACACUACCAUUUACUUUAUGAGCUUUCCCAAUGCCCAUUGACAAAUGGAGCAAGCUAUGAGGGACUGAGAAAACCAUCAUGUCUAUCCUCGUGGUUCUCAGCCUAUUGAGGCUGACAGGUGAAAACCUAGGAUUGAUGCUUAUAUGUUAAGGAAAGGAGAUGCCAUAUUCUAGUUACCUCAUGAUCUCUAGCUGGCCAGAUGUCAUCGCUUCCCCUACUUCUAUAGACUCAGAACCUAAGUAGGAUAGCAUCACUAUUCCCUCUGACCAUUCCUGUGCCUACACUGUUAAUUGGCUGGUAUCUCAUCCAUGAAGAUGCCUUCCCUUACCUCUCUUCUGAGCUUGCUAUUCCUAAAAGUUGUGGUUCACUUGUGCCUGACUCUCCGCAAUCCCAUUUGGAGGUUUCUUUUGCCAUUUAUUUCUCCAGUCCAUUUACUGCUGAGGAAUUGAGGCAGACAGGGUUAUGUGACUUGGUCAGGGUCACACAGCUAGGAAGUGGGGCUGAUUCCAGGCCCAGCGUUCUAUCUCUGGGCCACCGGCCACCUUAAUCUCAAAAGAGGCAAGAGAAUCCAUGAUUGCCAAAUUACUUAUAGCCUCAGAGGCUGGGCCUUAAGUAUUCUUACUUCAUUUUCCCACCAGCUCUUGGAUCUUCUUGGGACAAUGUAGAUGAUAUGGUCAAUACUCGUUGGUGCAGAGGGAAUGAUUGGAACCAAUAGGAUUCUUCUUUUAUUUGAUACUUCCUAAUCUCUACCCAGGAAAGUUGGGGAAAGGGCUAAGAUCCUUGGAGACCUUUGAGAGAACACUUUUAUUUUCUUAACCAGAGAUUUCCAAUCUGAACUUCUUUCAUUAGACAUUCAUCCAUAAGGAAAAAUCCCUUUUUUCCAACCCUCUCCCAAAGAGGUGAUCUGGAUCUUAAAGGUGAGUAUAAUUGUGCUAUUCCCUUGGAAAAGACUUUAAAGACUCUAAAUAAUAACAGCAUGAUCUCCUUAGGACAAGCCUCUCUCCUCUCCACUUUUACCCCAUCCAUCUCCUCUUCCUGGUUCUUUCCUUUCAUGUCACUACCCCCUUUUUUUUUUUAAUUCCCCCUUUAUCUUCUCCUCCCUUUCUCCCUCUCUCUCAGCAAGUUUUUUAUGUGAUUACAGGCACUGCAUGGUAAUUAGUGCUAAACUCAUUUGCACAACUACAGUUAAUUGGCUACAACAAUUAAUUAAUGUGUUGGAAAUUUGGCACUGGAAAAAAAAAGUUUGUCAUAAAAAAAAGCAAAAAAAAAAAAAUGUAAAAUGAAAUGCCCAUAAAAAUCUAGGGCAGGCUUCAAAGGCCCAGCUGGGCCUCAGACGUGAGGCUGGCCUUUUCUGCCACCUUCCCACGCUCAACUCCAACAGCAUUCGGCCAUUCCCAUUUUUUCCUCCUUUCUUUCUCUUUCUCUCUCUCUCUUUUUUUUUUUUUUUUAACAACUUAAGCAAACUCAUUUCCCUGAUAAAAUAUAGCAUGACUAAUGGCUAGAGCAUGUAAAAAUCAUUGGGAAAAUGUCCUUGGAAGACGAAUGCAUUUUCAGCAGAAUAAUUAACUUAAUUAACAAAUUCACAUGCAUAUUCAUCAGGCUAUUAAUGUCUUCUCGGCUCAGCUUGAUGAACAUUGCGGUAAUAACCAUCUCAUUUACAUACUGCAUUCUACUGCGAUCCAAAACAGAGACAACAUACAGGCGUACACACGCGCGCAUGCACACACACACACACACAAGUACGGGCACACACACAACAUGUGUGAGUCAGUCUAGACUCCAGGGUGAUUGGGAAUGUGGGAGAUUGUACAGGCACCUGGCAGGGGACUGGGUGGAACCCUGCGAGAGUAUGGUCUGCGGAGAGUCAUUGUUGAGGGAGCCUGGGGGGCCGGUGGGGGCGGGGGGGAGUUCACAAGCAUUUGUGUCUGAGAGAUCAAGAGAGAACUUUCAUCAUGCUCUGUCCCUGUCUCUCUGUCUCUCCCUUUCUUCCUUCUCUCCUUUUCUCCCUCCCUUUUCCUCUCCCUCUCCUCCGCCCCCCCCCCCCAUCUCUCUAGGGAAAAACUUGGUAUCUGUGCCAACUUUCUUCCCCCCUUCCCUCCCUCCUCCUCUCCUCCUCUUUCCCCCCGCCCAACUGCUGCCAGCCGGCGUCAGCGCCGAAUUGCCAUCUCCCUCAGCUCUCUGUGGAGCAAUCUUGAGGAGCAGUAAGGUGUGACGCUGGGCUCUGCCGGCUUCGCAGCACCGCCUGCGGAAAGAGCGCAGGAUGGAGGAGGAAGAUUAAGAGAAAUCGCGAGCAGGGCUCUGCUGCCAUUGGUGUGUGCAAGCGCCGAGGAGGAAGGGAGAGUGAGAGAGCGAGAGAGAAAGGGAAAAAAAAACCACAGCAGCUGUCGGCCUAAUUCUUCUAACACUCUGCUUGUGGUCAUAUUAGAAAAACAGAUUAUGCCCCUCGGUGCCACUCACUUAUAUUUGACAUACGUUAAUGUUCUAUAUCUUCAUUCUCUGGUCUCCACAAUGCUGGACUUUGGGUUCGGGGGGCCUGGGGCUGGCCGGGCCAGAGGGCCACAGGAGAAGCUGCCCAGUGCCCUCUCCUCCCCCUCUGCUUCCCAAAACGCCCCCCUAGAAAGGAAAAGCCCCACUUCUAUCUUUGUAGCUGAUGCUGCCAUUUCCUCCCCGCCCCACCUCCAUGCUUGGGUCUUUGUAAGGAGCUCUUCGUGUGCCCUCCAACAAAGCAUCCUCCCUCCUCCCUAAAGGGUCCACCUUAGGACCUGACAAACCCAACUGAAUUCUGGGGCACUCCGCUUUACCUUGACGCCUCCCUUUCCUAUUCAGGAGGAGGAAGAACGGUAGGAAAGGGUAAUUCUAAGAAUGCACAUCCCAGAGUUAGGGGGGAAAGACACCUAAGGACCCCACAGGUCAAUCUAGGAGUGUAUCUGAGUAGCUAUGGAAACCAGGUUACCCCAUCACUACCAAUCUUGAAGGAAAGUAGGGGUGCAGCCUAUUAGGGUCUUUUCUUCCUAGCCCCCAAGCUGGGAAAAAUGACUAGACUUUAGAGCAAACCAGCUGGCCCUGUCCUUGUACCUGUCCGUCCCUGGCCCCAGUGGGUGCCCCUGCCCCUUCUCUGUUUUUCUAAUGUUCAUUUGAUGGCGCCUUGUUCCACACUGUGCGCCUUGUCCUCUUCUGAGACCUGUUGCUUAGCAACCACUAGUACCUUCUUUCUAAUAACUCACAGGGACCAUGAGAUAUAUCUAUCUCUUUAUCCCUAUUCCCUCUCCCCACUCCGACUAUUUAUUGUUAAUAAUCAAAGCCCCUGCUUCAGGUUCACAUGGCAUUGUUUUCCCAGAAGGUAUUGAUAGACAUCAGCUUGUGUGCCCCCAAAGGGUGGAAGGUAGACUUAAGCUAGGAAGGAAUGAAUUUAAAACUAAGAACUUUCCAAAAGGGUAGGGUGGAAUACACCAAAGAACAAGAUAAUGGGAAGAUCUAGAAGCUGCUUCUUAGGGUAGUCUUCAAAUGGGCUGCAGUUCAUACAAAUCUUCACAAAUUUCUCUGAAUCCUUUAUAUUUGUAAUCUCUUUUUUGUCUGAACCUGUGAUUUUCAUUGGUAAAGGGAAUUCCCAGUAGGGUUAGUGAAAGUUUUAUUUGGCUACAGUGAGUAAACUCAGGUCCUCCUGGGGUUGUUAUCUAACUCCUGAAGUAAUUCCUCCCAGUCCUUUACUAUUCAAUAAAAAUCUGAUUCUAUUUCUGGUAGCUGAGGUACACGCAGAAGUAGGGAAUUCUUCAGUCAAGGUGGGAGAAGAUCUGACCUCAGGGUUGAAAUGAAGAUGACUUGAAAAGUUCUCAACAGUGGGAUUAGUUCUAAAUAUCAGGCCUGUUCCUUCCUAGUCUCUCUUUUUCUUCACUUCUCCCCUUCUACUCUGUCUCCAUCUAAUCUACCACCUGGUCUUUGAUCUGUUGCUAUAGAGACCACCUCUUCCCCACUGCCCCCAGGAAUCCUAAGAGAAGUUAAGACAUUGCAAAUGAGGGAGCAAAGCUAUGCUUGAAGAAUCCAGUGGUCAUUGGGCCAACAUCUUUCUGCAAAGAAGAAAAAAGAAUGCUUCAUUUUUCAGUUCUCUGAAGUCACAUUUUGAUCAAUCUGGAUAUCUUUCAACAUUGUUUUCCUUGUGGUCUCUGGGUAGAUUGCUGCUCCCAGUUCAUCAAUUCAUACAAGUCUUCACAAAUUUUUCUGAA